UACGGAGGGUGCAAGCGUUGUUCGGAAUUACUGGGCGUAAAGCGCGUGUAGGCGGUCGCUUAAGUCUGAUGUGAAAGCCCGGGGCUCACCUCCGGAAGAGCAUUGGAAACUGAGCGACUCGAGUGCCGGAGAGGAGGGUGGAAUUCCUGGUGUAGCGGUGAAAUGCGUAGAUAUCAGGAGGAACACCGGUGGCGAAGGCGGCCCUCUGGACGGAUACUGACGCUGAGACGCGAAAGCGUGGGGAGCAAAC
rnacentral:rRNA from 1 species